AAUUGAACAAUGCAGAUAAGGGAAGUCGGCAAAACGGAUCUGUAUCUUCGGAACAAGGAUUGACUGUAAGCGGUGAACUGGUCGGCCUGAUGCUUCGAUGCGUGUGUGGUGCGGUCGCUGACUGCCGGUAGAUCGGAAGAGCGUCGUGUAGGGAAAGAGUGUAGAUCCCAUUACCUGAGCGACUGUCGCGUUGGGCAUCGGCGAUUUGGUCGCGCUUCGCCGGAGCGCGGUCCUUCUGAAGCCGCAGACGGUAACGAAGCUGCACGCGGACGACUUCAGCUGUGUGCUCUUGUCGGUAACUGACAAGCCACUUCGUCGGCAUUGAACAGCCGACUUAGAACUGGCACGGACCCGAGGAAUCGGACUGUAUAAUUAAAACAAAGCAUUGCGACGGCUGGUGAUCGCUGAAGAAGAAAUACACAUUUGGAGCGAAAAUCGAGGAUGAUCGAAGAAAUUUCGAGGUAAUCCGUGCUAUGUAAACAAACGUCUUACCGCGAAAAUUCACAUUCGACGCUCUGUUUGACUUCCCAAGGAAAUUGGAUUUGAGGAAUAUCGGAUAAAGACAAUCGCACGACAUCGGACACAGACCGCGCGCUAUCGCAUCGUUUAUCAUAGAUUGUGCCUUCGCUUCUAAGUCAAGCCGAUAGAGCUGAGCCUCUUGUUCCUGUGCGGUGUAUCUCCUGAUGAUAGUGCCUGAGACCGCCUAGUUGGCAUGAAGCACUUACCCGGCGCCUCUCAGGGUUCAGGCGAAGGAGACCACGUGACCCGUGUAGUGUACAGUCGCGACCCCCUGUAAUAUAUCCGGGUCCUUUUCAUUGUCCUUCCUGUCCUGCAUGUGUUCCACGUCCAGUGGAUAUAGUGAAGCAAAUCAGGGGUACGCAUGGCGAUGACAGUAUUAUUUUUCAAUGCUCCAAGUGUAGUAAGCUAGGCUCUCUCAUGUCUAUAAGUGUACAUUAUUCUCGCUGCAAAGGUGGUUCGUCGUCUGUGCAGCAUCUCAGUUUCCAAUGCCCCUGCACUGAUUUCCCCAAGGUCCUUUGCGACUAAGGCGAGGAUGAGAAGUCACCUAAGGCAAGCGCAUCCACUAGAAUUUAUGGAGUCAGUCUCGACCACGACACAACGAAGGUGGAGCAAAUAUGAGCGUGAUGCGUUAGUCUUGGCAGAGGCAGACUUGAUAGUUUCAAGACAGAUUAGCGCAAGUUGCUGCAUCAAACAAUUGCAAAAGCACUUAGACGAGGAAUACGGGAUUAAGCGUUCAAGAGAAUGGAUCCGAACUCAGCGAAAGAAACUGAAGAUAAGCUUGCUGUUGACGGCGCGUUAUCUCAUGUGCAACCCACAAGAUCUGUCCCUGCAUAUGCCUCUGGUCAGCACCCUUGUGAGCACCUCAGCAACCACCAACCCCCAAUGCCUGGAAGACAAGACUCGCUGACUCUUGCACAACCAUCUGCCCAAGCUCCUCUAGGUUCCCCGCCAGACAACCUUGCCUUGUAUGCCUUCCAGUCAACUUCUGAUGAAAACCACUGGCCAUCUGCCCAUGAAGUUGCGCAGCUCCUAGAUGAUCCUGCUCCCCACCCGCUUGAUGCCGAAUUCCUUGUUGCACUCCGUGCUUUUAUUUAACUGCAUGGUGCCCCGUCCCAAACGGCCAUUCUUGAUUUCACAUCCGAAUUUUUGUGUGCCCGCUUUAAAAGCACUCCUUCAGUAAUGCGUCCCAGCAAUGUCACUCCUAGAUUAAAUGCGAAGCGAAGGUAAUACGUCCGCAUGCAACACUUAUUCCACAAGGACCACCGGAAAUUAGUUGAGAUUAUAACAGGAAAUGAAUCCACAUGGGACAGUCCGCCUAACUUAGCCGAAAUAUGUAACAUCCUUAGUCAAAGACUCAAUAAGCCAAGAGCGGUGGACAUUGCCCCCAUUACACCCAAGACGGAUGUUCAAGCAACUCGGGAAAUGCCCCUCAUAAGCACCCAGGAGGUAAUACCAUCUCAAAAGGCCCUGCCCAGUUGUUCCACUUCGGGUCCUGCUGAAGUGAGUGCGAUGGCGGCGAAAGAUAUUCCCCCAUCUCUCUUGUGUAAAAUAUUUAAUAUUUGAUUAUUCUUUCGAGAUGUACCGAAGAUGUACAAGGUAAGACGCACAAUCAUAAUCCCAAAAAGUAGCCAGCAUGCCGGUUCCCACGACUUUCGGCCCCUCACAAUAAGCAGCACUAUAUACAGGUUAUUUAGCAAAAUAAUAAACGCCCGAUUGGCCUCUCAAGUAACUCUAAACCUUAGCCAGAAAGGAUUCCAAAGAAACUUAGACGGUUGCAAUGAAAACAUGAGGCUUCUGUUAACGUGCAUAAGUAACGCGCGUCAAACGAGCCCUCCAAUAGGGAUCGCCAUUUUGGAUGUAGCAAAGGCAUUUGACACGAUUUCCCAUCGUAGUGUCGCGCGAGCGCUGAGACGUCAUAGAGUUAACGGUUGUCUCUCUAAAUUAAUACAAAAUAUGCUAAGGGACGGAUCAACUGUUAUCCGUUAUCGAGGCCGAAUAAGCGGAGCCAUAUACAUUACUAAUGGGGUCUAUAGAUCGAAGAAACUUCUUUUUUACGGGGUGUUGUGCACAUCAGCGAUUAUCAAAAACACGGAAUUUUCCCCCGUUUUUAUACCUUUUUAUUCCAAAAAAAGGUAAAUCUCAGAGCUUUCAGGCGCGUACCAUGCGCCCGUCAUCAGUGAAAAGAACUUCAUCGACUGCCCAGUCAACGGUUCAGCAAACCCUUCUGCUAGACCGUCCAGGCUGGCGACAUCCACUAUCAGGUACUACCCUUGUACCUGAAAUGGCAGGGUGAACCUAGUCCAACAAACUAUGAUAACAUAUGUCUAUCCUCAUUGGCGUUCGCAGAUGACAUAGUUGUUAUUACUAGGUCGCCGACUGCCCUCAACCUGCAACUUAGAAUAUGCUCAACCUUCUUCCAAGAGCGGAGUUUAAGGCUAAACCCUCAAAACUGCUCGGCCCUCCUGCUAGUGUUCCGGCCAAAAGCUGCCACUUCUUGCAUUCCUGUACAUAGUCACAGCGUAUUACUAAAGGUUGGGACUGUUGUGCAUCAGCUACCCUUAAUACGUCCUGACAGAUUUACGAAGUAUCUGGGAAUAAAAAUCAAUCCUAUGAAAAUACCUGUUGUAGAUCCCACUAGUAUAGUUCAAACUUUCAACCAGGUGAGGAAGGCAAGGUUAAAACCACAACAAAAGUUGGUGGUCCUUCGUGAAAACAUCCUGCCUCGUUUGGGGGUAGUGUUGUUGGGACAUCAUGGAAGUACGUGUUGGAGAGGUUACCCAAUAGCUUAGGAAUUGCAUUAGGUGGUUAUGCUUUGAGCAAGGCAUGGCAGUGCAUGCCUAGGAUGUCGGUGAUCAUGACCCUAGCUUGUGCGACAAUCAGCUGGUUGAUGACGGAAAGGAAUAAAGUGUUUGACGAGGGGGUGCCGAUACGUGCGUGGUGUUUGGCCCUAGCUGGAAUUGUUGGGGUGGUUUUGACAAACCAGGAACAGAUUAUGAGCGUGAUGGAAACUCUACCGGUAUGCAACGCUGACGGAAGCAACAUAUUAGAUGGUUUGGCUGCUUGUGGUGCAGUUGCGGCAGCAGCGGAGUGUUUUUUGAAAAACUAUAAAGGAGAACCAGUGGAAGCUAAAGAUGUUGCUUUAGCCAUGGUUUCUAGCAGUGUUUCACUUGCCGACUUAGACUGGGUUGGUCGGUCAAUUGUGGCGCAGUUGACCAAGCCUGCAGUGCAUGUGUAGCGAGUAUUCUGCACCUCCCGCCGCAAGCCCUGAAUAACCAUCUCAUUAAUUUGCCCAUCAAGCAUGGGGGCUAGGAAUUCCAUGUUUGCAUGAUAUAGUUCGCGUCAAAUGUCUCCGCUCCAUUCUUGCACUGUCGCGCUCUGCAGAUCCAUUUGCCCGUGCAGUAUGCAGCCACCCAUCUACACAGCGUGUUCUAACUCGCCUGACAGGCUGGCUUAAUAUCAGUGACCUUAGACCCCAGAAUGUUAACGCGGGAAAACAUGCACUCUCCCGUGAGCGAGUACGUAAACUCCUCUUGACGGUGCAAGGGAAGUGUGUAAAGCCCUUCAUUACCGGCAAAAUAGGCAACAAGUGCCUACUAGGCAAACUAACAACUGGGCAUGCAUUUCUCCGCAUCGUUCAGCUCCGGACGGACACUGUCCCUACUAAAGCAAGAAUGUUAAGAGGGAGAUGUAGUGAUGGGGAUGCUCGCGUACUAUGUCGCCACUGUGGUCGCACCACAGGGAAAAGGGAAGCAGCUUGUCACAUUAGUCAACUGUGCCCUAUUACCCAUAGGCUCCGAGUUGCAAGGCACAACAACAUCAUGUCCUUCAUUAAGCAACUGGCACCGGAACAAGGAUUCAGUGUGGAAACAGAGCCCUUAUAUUAUCACAAUGAGACCCUUCUUAAACCGCAUUUGCUGCUUCAUGAAGGCAAUGUGGCAGCGCUUGUGGACAUAGCGGUGCCAUGGGAAACGCAGGAUAGCUUUCGUGCAACACGGCAAAGGAAAAUAGAUAAAUACGAGCCGCUCUCGGAUCAGGUUAAGCAAGCGCAUAACAGUGAGACUGUAAUAGUAGAAGCGCUGAUGAUCGGAGCGCGGGGGAAGUGGGACCCGAAAAAUAAUAAUGUUCUCCAAAAUCUUAAUCUGCGCAUGACGACGAACCAAAAGCGGAACUUGUGUACUCGGACAAUCAAGGCUACAGGAAAAAUGGUAGAUCAUUUGUUUGUCACGCCGUGCUAGACCCUCGCCCUCACCGCCGUCCCACCGUAUUGGUAUGAGGUCUCACGGUUUUCUCUGGUUAGCGAAUUUUUCCCGUAAGCAACAACAUUGCGAGCGGGUUUUUUUAUAGCAGCCAGAGUUUUUAAUCCAGAGACCAAAAAACGCACUGCUACCACGUCCUAACCUAUACUCGCUCCCAUAUACACGUUUCUUUGGUUGCGUUAGUACCGCGCCCAGGCCAAUGGCGUAAGUGUCGGGAGCAACCCAUUGCGACAACUACCCGGUCUUCGAGUUGUUGAAUGAUGUCGUCGAACAGUAAACUUUGAAUAGCCAAAUGCCUCGUCAUCUAAUUAGUGACGCGCAUGAAUGGAUCAACAAGAUUCCUACUGUCCCUAUCUACUGUCUAGCGAAACCACAGCCAAGGGAACGGGCUUGGCAAAAUCAGUGAUCAAAGAAGACUUUAUUGAGCUUGAUUCUAGUCUGACUCUGUGAAGAGAUAUUGAAGGUGUAGCACAGGUGGGAGGCUCGCAAGGGCCGGCAGUGAAAUACCACUACUUUGAUCGUUCCUUUACUUAUUCGGUCAAGUUGAAGGAACGGUCGAUGCGAUGCCGUCUGACGACACGCGUCGACUGCCGCUUUUGGUGCCAAGUCCACAGGACGCGUGCCCGCGCUGACGGCGGUGACACGUGCGGCGCCAACGCACUUCCAUGUGCGUAGAGCUGUCCAGGACGAUCCGCUCCGAAGACAGUGUCAGGCGGGGAGUUUGACUGGGGCGGUACAUCUGUUAAAUGGUAACGCAGGUGUCCCAAGGUGAGCUCACCGAGGACAGAAACCUCGCCUAGAGUAAGCGGGAAAAAGCUCACUUGAUUUUUAUUUCCAGUACGAAUAGAGAUCGCGAAAGCGUGGCCUAUUGAUCCUCUUGAAUUUUAUAUCCUCAGCAAUGGGUUUUUGGAGGAAUCUGCCGUGAGUGGCGUCAAUGUUUCCUCGUGCAGGUGAAGG
rnacentral:ncRNA from 1 species